CAUUUUAAAAUACAUUUUUUGCCCCAACAGAAUCAAGGCCAUUGAUUAGAAAUAACCCAAACAUUCUUUGUGAUGAUUGGCAAGAUGUUUCAGAUAAGAUGAUGUACAUUCACACAGAAAUGGGACUAGAGCAGCCACAGAUAUCUGCUAGUCAGGCCUUAGAGAAGUCUCUUAUGCACAUCAAAACUCGGCACUUGUUCCUAAGCAGGGCAGGUCUCUAUGUGAAACCCCAACUUGCUGCGAGAUAAAAUGAGCCACAGGAGAAACCCAUCCUUGUCAGAUAUCACUGAUACUUCAAACAGAUUUUUUGCAAAUAAAGUUGCCAAAUUAUCUGAGGAAGAAUAUAAAGUUUUUAGUGAGAUGAUAAGAGAAGAAUUAGAUGCAUCAAAUAGUGACUCUGAUGACAGCGAGGAUGAAGAAUAUCACACAAAUGUAUAACUCUGGUUGUGCUGUUUCUAAAUAGAAAUCUGUAAAUAUUUAUACAGUGAAAUAGAUUUUUGUUAUAGAUGAUUGUAAAUAAAGUCAUAUACAUUAUA